rnacentral:rRNA from 1 species
AUGGAGGCCUACUCGAGGGACCUGCUGCGCGGCGUCGGCGGGGGAGGCGAGGCCGGUCGCGGCGAGGAGAAGCCGGGGCGCCUGGAUUCGCAGACCGAGGAGGUCGAGCUUAGCCUCGGCCUGUCGCUCGGGGGGCGAUUCGGGCAGGAGAGGAGGAGGGGCGAGGGGCUCGCCAGGUCCUCGUCCGUCGCCUGCAUCCAGCAGGUGACGCCGGCGCCGCCCGCGCUCGCCAGGACAAGCUCCCUGCCGCCUAUGGCGGAGGCGGAGGCGGGGAACAGCGCCGCUUCCCUUAGGAGCGGCGUCGAGGUCCAGCCGCAGGGGAGUGGUGCCGGUGCCGCUCUUAACGGCGUCGUGGUGGAGCCCGCAGCUUUGCCACGGGCGAGCUUGAGCCCCCCGUCCACAGGCUCGUCGGACGGCGAAGGGAAGCUGCGGGCGAGCUUGAGCCCCCCGUCCACAGGCUCGUCGGACCGCGAAGGAAUCCUCGCGAGGACAAGUUCACUCCCUGCUGGCAUCGAGGAUGGGUGGAGGAAGAGGAAGCUAGCAGAAACUCUGAACAAACUCGAAAUGAAGAGGAGUAUCGACAGGAUGAACUCUUCCAACGCUUCUGUAGGGGAGGUUGGAGAGAACCCAGAUGAAAUGAGUGAGCAGGCAGGAGGAAAGGCAACAGUACAAAGAAUGAACCGUACCAAUGUGAGGCGUCGCUUGAGUGGGCUUCCUCCACCAUAUCAGCCUCCAGCUGCAUCACAAGGUCCGAAAAGGAAUUCAGCUUUGAAAGGAACUCCUGGCGCUCUAGAGCGGAGCCUGUCAUCGGCUGUUCUGCCCUCGUCUGAGGGUGCAAAAAGCAGCGCCGUGACAACCCCUUCAUCUUCAGCAUCGGUGGUGAGAGCAGCAGCCCCUGGCAUCUCCACAGGGGAGCAGCAGGAUGGUUCAGAAAGGCCGGCGGCAAGAGCUACUAGGACCAGGAGCGUGGCAGACAUGGUGCGGAAGAUGCCGGUGGUGUACACCAGCGGGCUCCCCAACGGCGAGAGGAUCGACGGCUUCUUGUACCAGUACAGCAGAGCUGAGGAGGUGAGGAUUGUGUGUGUGUGCCAUGGUAGCUUCCUGACUCCGGCGGAGUUUGUGGCGCAUGCCGGAGGCAGCGAAGUCACCCACCCAAUGAGGCACAUCGUCGUCAACCCCCCGUCGCUCUAG